ensembl:misc_RNA
AUUCUGGUUUGGAUGGCAUUGGAGAGUGGAGCUGUAGGCCAGCCCAGAGGUGAGGAAUGCCUGAACACCCUGGGCCAGAUCUCUAUCUUGAUUGUAGAGACAUUGUUUCCUGACCAGCUGGAGGU